UUUUAGCCCCGAUUGUAGCAAGUAUCCUCGAAGAGAUACUGCGGAAAGCGGGAAUACGG
rnacentral:sRNA from 1 species